UACAGAGGGGGCAAGCGUUGUUCGGAAUUACUGGGCGUAAAGGGCGCGUAGGCGGCCGACUAAGUCAGACGUGAAAUCCCCAGGCUCAACCUGGGAACUGCGUCUGAUACUGGACGGCUUGAGUUCGGGAGAGGGAAGUGGAAUUCCAGGUGUAGCGGUGAAAUGCGUAGAUAUCUGGAGGAACACCGGUGGCGAAGGCGGCUUCCUGGACCGACACUGACGCUGAGGCGCGAAAGCCAGGGGAGCAAAC
rnacentral:rRNA from 1 species